AUUAGCAUUGUAUAUGCAUGGAAUAUUUAUUGGAAUGGGGUAUAUUUGGGUUGUAUACCCCAUUCCAAUAAAUAUUCCAUGCAUAUACAAUGCAAAU